GCCACAGGGCCAGCACCACAGUGGAGAGGCCCAGCAGCUGUGAGGGCUGAGCGCUCCAGAUGCACUGAUAAAGGCAGGGUGACAGCGAGGGCUCAUUAUCAGCAACCUCAGCUAACACACAAUCUUCAAAACAUACUUUCUUCAGUUAUUUUGCAGUGGAAUUUAGCUACAGGUUUUAUUGGUUUCUUUGCUAACCAGUGUUGUUUGUGGCCUAUGGCUUCCUCUUUCUCUUCUUCCUGCUUUUAGCCCUGGUGGUGGAUUUCCAUGUAGCUCUUGCAAAAAGCGUCCCUACAUGACAACUUUGUGAAUCUUUGCACAUGAUACAGGAGAUUGCUCUAAUCCAAUUUUGUGAACUUCCUGCUUGUGAAUUUGACCUCCAUCCAUGCCCAUUCUACUCUUCUUCAGUCAUCUGUUGCAAGUGCCCGGUGUUGCUAAGCCUGUGCUCUACCACUGGACCACAACCCCUCAGCCCAGCUUUUAGCUGCAGCUACAGCUAAGAAUGAUGCAGACAGGGGAAGACAUUUGUGGCUCUUGCUCACAUUCAUCUGUUUCGUCUCACUGCCCUCUCCGGAGCUGUAAGAGAAAGUUCACUUCCCCGAGGACUCUCUUUCCACCUUUAUAAGGUUGUGUAAGCAUCUUAGCUCUGUGUGUUUUGUUAAUGUGCUCUGUAUCUGUAUCAUAAAUCAGUCAUCUUUUAAAAAUAUAAAUCGGUCCUAUUUUGGUGCUCGAGGUAAUAA